CAAAUACCUGUGAACACUAGCUAGUAGGUUGUCAUUGUUGCUCAAGCUAUAAUUACCACAUAACGAAUGACUAACUUGUGAGUUGUGACGGAGCUGUGAUGCUGAAUUUGUCCAUCUGUCCAGCAGAGGUCAGACUUGACAUGCCGAAGUCCUGCAGGUUUCUCACACAUGGAGAAGGAAUUCAGCCCAUUGAAAGAUCCACGUCCCACACUGUUUUGAGAUUAAAUACUCAGAUAUAUAUAUUCAAGUGUUCUCCACAUGCUCCGGGCCGCCCUAUAGCAAGA